rnacentral:rRNA from 1 species
UGAUAGCUCAACUAUUAGGCUUCGGGGGAUACUGCCAGACUUGGAACCGGGAGAGGUAAGAGGUACUACAGGGGUAGGAGUGAAAUCUUGUAAUCCCUGUGGGACCACCUGUGGCGAAGGCGUCUUACCAGAACGGGUUCGACGGUGAGGGACGAAAGCUGGGGGCACGAACCGGAUUAGAUACCCGGGUAGUCCCAGCCGUAAACGAUGCUCGCUAGGUGUCAGGCAUGGCGCGACCGUGUCUGGUGCCGCAGGGAAGCCGUGAAGCGAGCCACCUGGGAAGUACGGCCGCAAGGCUGAAACUUAAAGGAAUUGGCGGGGGAGCACAACAACGGGUGGAAGCCUGCGGUUUAAUUGGACUCAACGCCGGACAACUCACCGGGGCGACAGCAAUAUGUAGGCCAAGCUGAAGACUUUGCCUGAAUCGCUGAGGGGAGGUGCAUGG